ensembl:lncRNA
UUUUUUUUUUUUUUUGAGACGGAGUCUUGCUUUGUUGCCCAGGCUGGAGUGCAGUGGCACGAUCUCAGCUCACUACAACCUCCACCUCCCUGGCUCAAGUGAGUCACCUGCCUCAGCCUCCUGAGUAGCUGGGAUUACAGGUGCCUGUCACCCUCCCAGCUAAUUUUUGUAUUUGUAGUAGAGAAGGGGUUUCACCAUGUUGGCCAGGCUGGUCUCAAACCCCUGACCUAAGUGAUUCACCCACCUCGGCCUCCCCAAGUGCUGGGAUUACAGGCGUGAGUCACCGUGUCCAGCCUAUGGCUGUUUAUUUUGAGCCUGCACACCUGAACUAUGAUGGAUCGUGAGACGACUUGAUUGUUUAUUCAUUUUUCUUCCUGCUGGAGCCUCACCAGUCUUACUGUGAUUUUUACUUGGUCUUUUCUUGGCCAGAAUGUACCAUUUGCACAUUUUGUCUGUCUCUGUUCUGUUCUUGAGAUAGUUAAAGGAAUAUUGCAUGGUGGCAACUCAAUUAUCGACACAAACGCCAAUGUGACUCUAAAGCCUCUUGAUGGCUCCAAGUUAUAAAAAGUUGUGUAAAUUAUUCAAAACGUGUAUGACACACUUUUCUCAAAGACUAUCACUUAAAUGAUAAUGUAAAUCUCGGGAACUUGGGAAUCUUUGAGAAUCUCUCCACUCCAGUUCAAAAACUGAUGCCUUAGAGUCCCUGGAGAAAAAUACGGUUUAAGGUAAACCAGCAGGGAAAGGGGACCUCUAGCCUGGGUUCCUUGACUUAUUUUAGGCCAUAAACUCCUUUGCAGCUUACCGCAACCCACAUACCAAGUCUGCAUUUUGCAUAAGUCGAACUGAAGACAUAAGAUUGAGAACAGGUAGUUUAUUCAGGAGGUGCAGGGAGCACCGGCACAGGUGGGGAAGCAACAUGGGGCACUAAGGUAGCCGAGGGGCGCUGUGAAGCUGGCUUCCUUGGCAGAGGACGUGCUGAAUCCUGGGGAGAUACUGGGAGAGUUGUGAAACCCACCCAAGGUACGAGGGGGCUGAGCAGUUUACAGCAAUCCUUGCAAAUCGUUGGUCGGGGCUCCUAGAGGAGGAUGGUUCACAGAGCGCACUCUUCCACUUGGAAGGUGAAGCUGGAUGGUGAGGUCCAGGAAUGCGGAGGAGGCAUUGUAGCGGCCUCUGCAGGUCCCCUUCUCAGAAUGAUGCUUAAAACAAAACACAAAAAAUUAUAGGAGAAUCCAUUUUAUUGAAAAUCGUCAUUAAAGUAUAAAAACCCAUCUGCGACGUCAUCUUGCAGGUGCUUCUUUGUUAACGCAUGAACAAUCCCUCACAGUGGUCUGAUGAUGACUGUUAAUUAUGAAAUAGUCAUGAGUGUGGACACUAAUUCAAGGCGAAAUGAAAACAACGGAGCUUUCUUCUAUUGACAGGGUCACAAAGGUGGCGCUGAUACCACUGUGGUUUGUCACCCACAUUUGAAGUGGAAGGAAGUGGUAAAUUGUUGUUAGAAGUUAGUGAAAAUAAAGAUGCAAUUUUUUUCCCCCAAUCCAAGUUCUCAGGGCUCAGAAUUCUGCCCACACACACCUCAGGAUGAACACCUCUGGCCCACACAGAAGCAACCAGGUCGUACACAUGCAAGCAUACAAGUGAAAGACAUGGGGCACCCGUGGCACUGUCUCCCCACACUUCCUUAGCUGGGAGCGCCACCCUGUACAGGUGCACCCUCCUCGGUUUCCUCAAAGACUAAAUUUCCUCCUGAGGCCCUACUGGUGCCCAUGCCACCUAACCGGUCCAGAGCAGGGUCAUCUCUAUUUCCCACAUGUCUCCAGCAUUGAU